UACGUAGGGUGCAAGCGUUAAUCGGAAUUACUGGGCGUAAAGCGUGCGUAGGCGGUUGCGCAAGACAGGUGUGAAAUCCCAGGGCUUAACCUUGGGAUUGCACUUGUGACUGUGCGGCUGGAGUGCGGCAGAGGGGGAUGGAAUUCCGCGUGUAGCAGUGAAAUGCGUAGAUAUGCGGAGGAACACCGAUGGCGAAGGCAGUCCCCUGGGCCUGCACUGACGCUCAUGCACGAAAGCGUGGGGAGCAAACAGG
rnacentral:rRNA from 1 species